AUACUCAAAUUGUAUUUUUGUAUGGGUUACCGUGGUUAGAUUGUUUCAAAUAACUUUCCCCAUUUGUGCCGAUCAAGAAUUACAAUUUUAUUAAUAUUUAGAAGUGCCCAAGCGGCACAAGGAGGAUUUUUAUUAUGGAACAAGGUACUGUUAAAUGGUUUAACGCAGACAAAGGUUUUGGCUUUAUCACUCGUGAAGAUGGCAGCGAUGUAUUCGUACAUUUCUCAGCUAUCCAAGGUGAUGGCUUCAAGACUUUGGAUGAAGGUCAGCAUGUAACUUUUGAUGUUGAACAAAGCGAUCGUGGACCACAAGCUGUUAACGUUGUAAAAGAUUAAUUAUUAAGCUUAUUUUUAAAGUUAUUAAAUAAUUAAAAACGUGUUCCGGAGCAGGAGUCAACUCUUGCUCCGGUUU
rnacentral:other from 1 species